UUUAGCGGCGAACGGGUGAGUAAUGCCUAGGAAUCUGCCCAUUAGCGGGGGAUAACGUGUGGAAACGCACGCUAAUACCGCAUACGCCCUACGGGGGAAAGCAGGGGAUCUUCGGACCUUGCACUAAUGGAUGAGCCUAGGUCAGAUUAGCUAGUUGGUGAGGUAAAGGCUCACCAAGGCGACGAUCUGUAGCGGGUCUGAGAGGAUGAUCCGCCACACUGGAACUGAGACACGGUCCAGACUCCUACGGGAGGCAGCAGUGGGGAAUAUUGGACAAUGGGCGCAAGCCUGAUCCAGCCAUACCGCGUGUGUGAAGAAGGCCUUUUGGUUGUAAAGCACUUUAAGCGAGGAGGAGGCUCUCGAGGUUAAUACCCUUGAUGAGUGGACGUUACUCGCAGAAUAAGCACCGGCUAACUCUGUGCCAGCAGCCGCGGUAAUACAGAGGGUGCGAGCGUUAAUCGGAAUUACUGGGCGUAAAGCGCGCGUAGGCGGCUUGUUAAGUCGGAUGUGAAAUCCCCGGGCUCAACCUGGGCACUGCAUUCGAUACUGGCAAGCUAGAGUAUGGGAGAGGAAGGUAGAAUUCCAGGUGUAGCGGUGAAAUGCGUAGAGAUCUGGAGGAAUACCGAUGGCGAAGGCAGCCUUCUGGCCUAAUACUGACGCUGAGGUGCGAAAGCAUGGGGAGCAAACAGGAUUAGAUACCCUGGUAGUCCAUGCCGUAAACGAUGUCAACUAGCCGUUGGGGACCUUGAGUCUUUAGUGGCGCAGCUAACGCGAUAAGUUGACCGCCUGGGGAGUACG
rnacentral:rRNA from 1 species